rnacentral:rRNA from 1 species
UUUAGUGGCAAACGGGCGAGUAACACAUAUUUAACUUGCUCAUCCGAGGAGAAUAGCAGCCCGAAAGGGCUAUUAAUACGCCAUAGUUUUAAAUUAGUGAAUUAAUUUAAAUUAAAGGAGGCUGCCGAAAGGUGGCCUCGCGGAUGAAUAGGAAUAUGUCCUAUUAGGUCGUUGGAGAGGUAAUGGCUCACCAAGCCGAUGAUGGGUAGCUGGACUGAGAGGUUGAACAGCCGCAAUGGGAUUGAGAAAUGGCCCAUAUUCCUACGGGAAGCAGCAGUGAGGAAUUUUUCACAAUGGACGAAAGUCUGAUGGAGCAAUACCACGUGAACGAUGAAGGUCUUCUGAUUGUAAAGUUCUUUUAUUUAGGAAAAAAAGCGCGGCAGGAAAUGGCCGCGCCUUGAUUGUACUAAUUGAAUAAGUGACAGCUAACUAUGUGCCAGCAGCUGCGGUAAAACAUAGGUCACGAGCAUUAUCCGGAUUUAUUGGGCGUAAAGGAAGCGUAGGCUGAAAUGUGUAUUCAUUGUUAAAAAUAUUUGCUUAACAAGUGUUCGCGGUGAAGAUUACAUUUCUAGAAUUAGUUAGAGGGUACUGGAAUUCAAUGUGUAGUGGUGGAAUACGUAGAUAUAUUGAGGAACACCAGAGGCUAAGGCGAGUGCCUGGAACAUAAUUGACGCUGAGGCUUGAAAGCGUGGGUAGCAAAUGGGAUUAGAUACCCCAGUAGUCCACGCCGUAAACGAUGGGUAUUAGUCAUUUGGAUUUAAGACUGAGUGAUGUAGCUAACGCGUUAAAUACCCCGCCUGGGUAGUAUAUAUGCAAAUAUGAAACUCAAAGAAAUUGACGGGGACCUGAACAAGUG